AAUAAGUGCAGUUUUGCACUAUUCAUCUCCAACGUUUGACCAUUCGUUUUAUUUGAAAUUUUUUUAUGAUUACUAUUUUUAUUGCUAUUAAAUGAUAGAACAUAAAUAGUACUUUAUGUCUGACUAAUUUUAAAAAAAAAUCAUAAAGUUUUCAAAUAAGACGGACGGUCAAACGUUAGACACGAAUUUCCACGACUGCACUUAUU
rfam:Oryza rufipogon genomic scaffold, chr09